GCUGGUGGCUACAGUUCCGAUUAGACCCCCAGCCUGGGAACCUCCACAUACCGCAGAUGUGCCCUAGAAAAGACAAAAAAUAAAAAUAAAUAAAUAAAAAGUUCUUUGCCCCUCCCUGAUAAUUAUAGGAGUUAGGUCAUACAAGCAAACCAUCUUCUAGAAGAAAUACAGUUUUGACUAAGCCUGUUUCCUCUGUGCAGACCUAGACACUGUGUGUAUGUUUAAUAUUAUCUAGCCUGAAAUUUCAUUUCCCUUCAACAGCGUGCCUUUCUGUGUUUGUUAGGCCAGACAACCUCUUGUUUUACUUCUUACCUCAGUUCUCGUUCUUUGUUGUUGUUGUUGUUAGCAGUAUUGAUAUCAUUUUUAUCAGAAAAGAGACAUACUGUUCAGGCGUUUUCAAAUGCCUCGAAAAUGCUUGGUUACUUAGAGGCAGGAGACUUGCCCAACUCAGCUCACACCCAGUUCUGUCCCCUCAAUAGUCCUCUCUAACCAUGUUGUCAUCCACCCUUCCUUGUUUUAGAAGGUUUCUACUUGUUAGGAAUAACUUCUCCUUGAGCUUGAUCUUUUUCCUCUCUUAACUUUCACUUACUAGUCCUUGGCGGUCUAGGGCAACAUAUAUGAAACCUAUUCUUCGUACACAUAGUAUCUCUUCCAGUGUUUGCAAACGCUUGUGAAAUCCUGCUUGAGUCUUCCUUUUGCUGCACUGAGGGGAGGAAAGCCCUAAUUCUCAAACCAUGUGCACAUGACAUGGUUUGCACCUUUCUCCAUGCACGUUGUUAAACUCAUGACAAAGUCUGUUUGUCAGUUUACCUCUUACAAUAUGGUGGCCAGAGCUGACUGACUGCUUCUGAUGUGCACUGCCCACUGCUGAAUACAAUGAAGCUAUUAUCUGGAUACUGUACUUGUAUUUAUGUGGCCUGAAAUUUGCAUUAACAUUUUUUGGCAGUAACAUUACUCUUUGAUCGUAUUUAGCUUAUAGUCAACUAAAACGUCUCUUUUUCAUGUGAACUCUUUUAAGUCUAAUCUUUCUCAUUCUUUACUUGGCAGUUGAUGCUUUGAAAAUAAAUGCAGGAAAUUAUGUAUUGCAUUACUAGAGACAUUUGAAUUUCUCUGUAUCAGAUUUCAUCCCAUUUGACUAUUUGGAGAUAUAACAUUUGUAUAAAAGAGCACAGUUUUCAUGGUGCUUUCUCGUAUAUUUUUAUUUAAUCUUUACAGCAACUGUCCCAGAAUCAAGGGAGAAAAAUGGCUUUCCACUAAGUCAGGAAUUGGCAGACAUAGUACUUUGUCACAGGUUUUUUGGUUCCAGAUCCCAUGCUUAUCUUAUCACUGUUCACUUCGUAAGCGUUUAGCAUGUCCUCUGCCGUGUGGCCCGAACCGUGGUGUUGGUGAGUCAGUGAGCAAGACGGAUUAGUCUCUGCCCUGUGGUAUUUAUGGCCUGGCACAUGAAUAAUGACUGCCAGUUGCUGAACACUUUCUAUUAGGAAGGCACUGUGGUGGACUGUGUUCGUGUUCACAGUACUUGUUGCCUCGCUGCCAGGGUCCCUCUAUCAGAGGAUUGUAUUUCCCACUCCGUUGACAUCAAGUUUGGACACUUGGCUUUCUGUGACCAGUAAAAUGUUAGAGGAAGUGACCUGUCCCUCCAUGUUUGAGCAGAUGUUUUAAACUCCAUCAGGUGGUUUAGUCACGGAAUGAGCCUGCCUUAGCUGAGGCUGGUCCCAGAAUGAUGGCGCCUUCAGAUUGGGUUCCAGAGUGGUGGAGCAGAGCUGAAGCCAACCCACGUUUGUCAUUUAAUGUGAGAAAUAAGUCCUGGUGUUGUAGGCACCAUGGUUUUGGAGCUGUUUGCUACCGUAACAUAAUACAGCCCAGAGUGUGAUACCGCCAUUGCUCCGGGUGCUGGUGAAGGUAAAUAAGACUUUGGCCUUGUCCUCCAGGAGUGUGUGGUCUUGGUGGAUGCACUGAAUUUCCAUCAGUUAGUGGUAGUUGAGGAAGAGGAGAGUAUAUAUAUGAAAAGGUCUUUGAAGUUGAGGCUCUUUCCUGACUUCACCCCUGGCUGAAUUAGUUUGUUUUACAUCCUGGGUCUGUGGUCCAGCCACUCACUGUCACAACUUGUUGUCAUCCAAAAUUUGAAAAUCUUGCUUUCUACAUCCUCAUUCGAUCACCUUUCUUAAAUGUUUAAGAGGAUGGGCUUCUACAGCAGUUAUUGGAAACUUCCUUCAUAAACUUUAUUAAUUAGCAUUCGCAAGGUCACCUAAGAAUCUGCCUAGUUGAACCACUUCUCCAACAUUUCCAGAAAAAUAUCAUGAGAUCCUAGGUCCUGUUUGAAUUUUAUUUUGUUGGCAUUCGGAUUUUCCAUUGCAUUGCGUGGGUUUUCAGAGACAAAGCCUACACUGGGAUUCUUUGAGGAAUUUCCUUAUCCCUAGAAACUAAGGAAUGCAUGGCCGGGGUUCAGGGGAACUGUUGAAACCUUUGAAAUAAUUGCAUGUAAAGUUUCCUGUAGGUUUACAUUGUUCUGAGUUGUAGCUUUCAUCAUAUUAUCUGAGAGAAUUAUGACUCCCCUGGAAGGUUAUGAACCCUGCUGUGGAGUGAGAAUAGAAGCAGCCGGAAGAUUGGAGAGCGCCAGGGUUUAUUUAAGGCACAGGUGAAACAAGGACCUAAAAAGAAGUCCGAGAAGGAGUAAUUAGAAAGGGUUGAGGACCGGGAGUAAAUACGCUAUAGAAGCCAGUUCCUUAUUUCUUAGGUUUUCAAAAAUCAGUUCUAGAAUUUCGCAUGGAUUCUACAUCCAUUUUCAUGGCACUUCUUUAUGAUUCCUUGGAAAUUACCCAGUUUUCAGAUACAUUUAAUGUCUUAGGAUGUGAUUUUUCUUGGUCUAUAAAUAGGAAUUUAAAGCAGUUCCUCCUUCUGUGGCUGUCUCCUUCCUAUCUUAGGCUUUUUUUCUUUUUCUUUUUUUCCCCCUUAAUCCUUAUUUACCCUUCCCAGAUUAAAGGUCAUUCUUCUUAAUUAAAAAGGCUGACUCAAGAUAGGAGAGAAAUGGUUCUUUAUGUUAUCUGUUGACAGUUGAUUCCAAGUAAGGAGAUGGCAUUUGUUAUUCUUUUUGUUGAAAAGGCAUUUGGAAGUCUUAACAUAUUUCCUGAACACUUUUGACAAAUAUAUUUUGUUUUUAAAGAACUGUAUUGAGAGAUAAUUGUUAUACAGUAAAUUGCAUAUAUCAAAAAUGUAUCAUUUGAUAAGCUUUGACCUGUGUGUGUACCCAUAAAACCAUCACUGUGGUCAACCCCCUCUUGGUAAUCCCCCUCUUUAUUACCCAGGCAACUACUAUUUAUUUUCUUUUACUCUACAUUAGUCAGCAUGUCCUAGAAUACAGUAUGCACCCUUUGUUGUUUUUCUUUUGGUUUAGCUUCUUUUACUCAGCAUGAUUAUUUUGAGAUUUAUCCAUUUUGUAGCCUGUGUUAAUAGUUUAUUUUUAUUGCUAAAUAGUAUUCCAUUGCAUGGAUAUAAAAUAGUUUGUGUAUCCAUUCACCUCUUGGUAGCGGCUGUUGCUAGUUUUUAGCUUUUACAAAUAAAGCUGGUGGGAAAAUCUAUGUCCACAUCUUUGUAUGGACAUGUGCCCUCACUUCUCUUGGGUAAAUACCUAGGAGUGGAGUGGCUGAAUCACAUGGUGAGGGCCAGAGAGGGAGGAACGAAGAGGUUGAGGUUGAGAGGGAAAGGGAUUUAUUUUAAGAAAUUGACUCACAGGAUUGCGUGGUCUGGCAAGUUCAAAAUCUGUACGAUGGGUCAGCAGUCUGGAUCAGGCAGGAAAGGUGCUUUGCAGUCCUGAGUCUAAUAUCUGCAGGGUAGGCCAGCAGGCUGGAAACUCAGGCAGAAUUUCUGUUCUUGUCUUGAUGCAGAAUUCCUUCUUCCUCAGGAAACUUAAGGUUUUUUGCUUGGAAGGCCUUCACCUGAUUGGAUGUGGCCCAGCCGCACUGUGGCAGAUCCUGACUUAGAAUUCACGUUCGAUACUUCUCUGGAAGACAUCUGUGUGUAUGAGAAAUUCACAAUUAAAAAUAUGAGGACAAGACAACACGGGAUCCGACCCGCAUCUGCGACUGACACCACAGCUCAAGGCAACGCUGGAUCGUCAACCCACUGAACAAGGCCAGGGGUCGAACCCACAACCUCAUAGUUCCUAGUCGGAUUCGUUAACCGCUGCACUGCGACGGGAACUCCUCUAAUGGUGUUGUUUUAAUUAUUUUUUUUUAUCAAGUGGGAGCUGUUCUGUUAUGUACUUGGAUGUAAAAUAUAUAUACACAUAUAUAUUUUAGUGAGUUCUGUAUGUUCAUUUGAAACUUGUCAAGUGCUUAGGUUAUUUUAUAGUUUGUAGUACUUCAAGAGAAAUAUCACAGUGCCUUAUGGAAGCAUCAUGUAACUUAAGAGUAGUUUUAUGAAAUACAUUUUUCAGAGUAAGCAUACUUGAGAGUUCCACAUCAGUUUUCCUUUGAACUUCUGUGAAAAAAAUAUUUAGCAUAUUGUGUGGUUUAGUCUCCCAAAUGGCCUAUGGGUUAAAUUCCUAAUUAUAGUGUUUAAAUGUAUUGUUUUUUUUUUCUUUUGUUUAAUAGUCCUGUGUUUACAUCUUUAUAUACACACUUUCCUGAUUAUAUAAUGGGAUCUCUGAUCAUUUGGGCUCUCGGCUUUGCCUCGCUUUAUUACUUAGAAAAAGCUCCCUAAGAAAGUUGAGUUAUAGUUAAGUGAAAAAUUUUUUUCACUUUACCUUGUUUUAGUUAAUACAGUAAAAUAUUCUGUUAUACUGAGCUGUCGACCACCCUUUAGAAAAUACAUGCCCUGAUUUCUUUGAAAAUUAUACAUUUAUUAUAAAUGUAAAUUUUUUUCUGAUGAACAUGUACUUAUCAGUUUUGAAUGUUUUAGAAUCCAGGUAAAUGAUAAAAUGUCCCCACCCCCUUACUUUCCACUUAGCAUUUGUUAUUUGAUUGAGAACAUAGUAUAAAGUUGGAUUUUUGGAUAAUAUUUGAAUAUAUUCUGAAAUUAAACUCCAACUAUUUUCUGUCAAGUUUGAA